UCCACACUUUUGGCUGGUAAGAGGAUGAUGUUAAGAGAAGAUAAUGAAAAGUACUGGAAGCAGAAUGAACUUCCGCUUAAAUUUUAUGGUGGGCCGAUUCGCACCAAUCCACCACGGCGGCCGAGUUCUACCGGCAGAUCCAGAAAUAUUCGGCCUCUUCUCAUCGGUCGACGCUCCCGUUCUUCGUCCUAUCGAUCUCUUCGAGCGCCAGCGAAGAUAGAGUGAGUCCUCGGCCGGCUUUGGCCAACCUUCCAGGACACCUUUUCUAUCAGGUUGGUGUAACAUGGCCUCAGAACCGAAGGUGCAAAGAGUUGCGAGUUAUAAUCUUGGUCGGUUGCAUCCAUCAUGGCUACCGUUGCAGCUUGGGCUGUGCUGAUGAGAUCAUUGAUAUUCGGCAGCGCAUUAUCGUUUUCAAUGUCGGAUUCUGGCGUUAUGAAGCUGUCUGACACUGUGUCGUCGACCGAAUCCAUGGUCGCUAUGGAUGACAACUUCUUCUGCCAGGAGCUGGCAGGUACUGUCCCGCGGCCUUCCGGCAGAGGUAGUGCACGACGAGCUCCUCGUCGGUGGGGUGGAACCUGAACCCUGGUGGCAAGUUGAGCUCGGCUUCAGCGUCUCGUUUCCUUGCCAUCUUUGUUCUCAAAUAACUCCAAUUCAGAUGCGCCCUUCGUAAAUGGAUGCCGACUGCCGAGGCCGAGUGGGCCCGCGAGGCAACAGGCCCCGGCAUCCAGGCAGCUUCGUGUGCUUUCCAUUAGUCAAAGGCGGCUGACUAUCUUCCAAAGCAUUGUCACCGUGGUGGAGACCACCGUGAGAGCUCGGAUUCCACAGACCUACCUCCAUUACGAAAAUUACAGGUAAUCCAUAAACAUACUUGAAGUAAUUUCUGAUGAACUAUUUUUUUUUAUGCGAUCUAAACUAUUCUUUUUCUUUUUUUUUUCGUUUUAACUGUGGUACUGAAUUCUUUGAAGAGUGUUUCUCGAUGUUUUAUUGGACCGCCAAUCGGAGACACUCUUUGUAAUUCGUAGACAACUAUCACAAUAUUGCCAAAAUGUUGACUACGUUUAACAUAGGGCUAGAGAUUUAGCAUAUUGUUUUCGUUCUCAUUACUUUUUUCGUAUUUGCAGCGGUCAGUUUUUUAGUUUUACCCAUUCAAUGUAACAUCGAGCGGACUGAAUUUCAAAUUUUAGUUGAGUUAUUUCGAAUUUUCUCAAAAAAUUGGUUAUAUUAAUUAAUUCGAUUUAUUUUUUAUUUUAAAUUUUUUUAUUUGAUUAAAUUAAAUAAAUCAAAAUAAAAAUUAAUCCAUAAUUUUUUAAUUAAUUGAAUUAAUCGGUAAUAUUUUUAUAAAUUUAAUUAAUUUGAUUUUCGAAUGUAUUAAUUGCUAUUUUACUGAUAUUGAUUUUUAUUUAAAAAAUUUGAUCAGAUAGUUAGUUUAAAUUUAUUAGAUUUAUUUAAUUUUAAUUAAUUCUGUUACUAAUAUUUUGACCGAAUACUCUGUCUUGAUUUACUUGACUGAGAAAAAGGUGUCCACUCUCUGUUGUUUAACUGAUGCUGCCUGCUUCCCUUUUGCACUUGUUAUUUGUUAAUCAUGGAGGCAUGUCGACGAGAUAUUACAUCUACUGUAGAUCUCUGGACUCGUCGACCGAUGGGACGUGGUAGAUCAGGUCCAUUGAACGAAGGGAAAAAGGUCAAUAAAUGCACGGGAGAAGAAAUACUGAAACAGAUGGUGGGAGACAGAAUGUUUCGCAGUCACACCACCUAGCUUUCCUAGAUUUUGAAAAGCCUGCGUUUCGCGAAUUCGCUGGCUGCGACUUGCACCAGAUACGCCCGGUGCGCUGCAUGUGCCCGGGCGCUGUCCUGCUCACGAGCUCGUGUUUCCACCGCUGGUCUCUUUCUUUGUUGGCACGCAACUGAACUGGCCUUUGACGGCUGAGGAAAUUUUACCGAUUCAACGGGUUUGUUUGGGUCUGUUGAUGUCCGGGCGAGGCAUGCGAGUCGGGGCCAGUUCGGCACCUGAAACUCUGCUGCCGCUGCUCGACUCAAACGCCGUGUUCUGCCGUGCGAGUGUGCAGCGGUGGCAAGCUAUUACACGAGUGGGUUUAGUAAGUUAAGCACAGUGGCCAGUCGUUUUCCUUGACUCAUUUUUUCUGUCACGUGUUCAAUUCAAAUUUACUUGAUAAUAAAGUAAGCAUCCUGAGGUGGAAGGCA